rnacentral:rRNA from 1 species
ACGGAAGGCAGCAGUAGGGAAUAUUGCACAAUGGGGGGAACCCUGAUGCAGCAACGCCACGUGUGGGAAGAAGCAUUUCGGUGUGUAAACCACUGUCGUGAGGGAAUAAGACCCGCCCCCGGGCGGGGUUGAAUGUACCUCGAAAGGAAGCACCGGCAAACUUCGUGCCAGCAGCCGCGGUAAUACGAGGGGUGCAAGCGUUGUUCGGAAUCACUGGGCGUAAAGGGAGCGUAGGCGGAGAAGCAAGCGGUCUGUACAAGACCAGGGGCCCAACCCCGGACCUGCAGACCGGACUGCUCCUCUUGGAUAGUUCAGGGGCAGGCGGAAUUCCUGGUGUAGCGGUGGAAUGCGUAGAGAUCAGGAAGAACACCGAUGGCGAAGGCAGCCUGCUGGGGACUCAUCGACGCUGAGGCUCGAAAGUGCGGGUAGCAAACAGGAUUAGCUACCCUGGUA